rnacentral:tRNA from 1 species
GGGGUCGUAGCCCAAUUGGCCGAGGCACAGGCCUUAGGAGCCUGACAGUGUGGGUUCGAGUCCCACCGGCCCCA